rnacentral:pre_miRNA from 1 species
UAGCCAAUGAGCGGUCAGAAAAGGUGUUUCCUCUGCAGCUCAUGCACAGAGGACCCCCUGGUGUGUGUCCGCUGGGGUGGGGGCAUGCUCCGAGCCGUGCCGAGGAGGC